GGCUGCUUAUUUUCAAAGGAAACUGGAGACCAACAACUAAAAGAAAAAAGAAAAAAAACUUUUCUCAAUUUUUUUGAAAAAACAGAGCGGGUGCCAAGGCAAACUGGCAGGAAACUGAGCCAUCAGGGAAAAGUUUCUCUUGGUACCUAGUUCACUCCAACAGCUUGAACCCAAACGAUUUCUCCAACCCGCAUCCACACCCAGCAAGCUGUCUUGCCUGGGUCUUUGAAAAGGCUCUGUUGAAGGGGAAAAAAAAGAGAUGAGAGAAAGUCCCCAAGGUCAAAGAAAGGCCCUCUGCUGUGCCCCUUGCUCUUUCCAGUUCUUUCAAAAUCUAGGUGAAAGAUGCCAGUAAGCGUAGCCAACUGACUUCCUUUCAUUCACACAGUUAAGGAGCCCUGAUCCACACUGCGCACAAUGCCACUAAAGACCUUUUCCCACAUUCCAGCCUCUCUCUGAAGCGUGGGCUUUAAUAUAAGUAUUAUAUUCUCAUCCACUAAGCUGGAACCAGCUCACUGAGCAGGACAUCUUUCUUUUGGCAACAUUUUCUGUCAGCGAUCUUUCUCCCGGUAGCCCCGUACGGAACAGGGUCCGUGUCUGAUCUGAUGAACCUGUGCUUGCCCCAAAGCUUAACGUGAUGCUUCGCACAGAAUAAGUGCUCCCUAAAGACCCCAAACCACCGAAAACAGACAUGCAGAUCCAGCAACCGGUCCAGCAGAGGAACGGGGAUUGAAAAGAGUCAGGAGACUGAAGAAAGCUUGACUCACCGGUCGGCUUCGGCACAGCAAGUUCCAAAAGACUGCAGCAGAGGGACACCUCUUAACAAGCCAGAGCAGAAAGGGCUGGGAAAAAGACCGAAGUGGACGCAAGGGCAGCAGAUCAGACUCCCCCAGAAAACAAGGCCCAUGGAUACCUCCUCAGUUAACAUCAGAUUCCUGCAGGAUCGCUGAUGGAACAUAGAGAAACACGAGGAUUUCAAGUGGAUAAGAUGGAUAAAAGAAGGUCAUUCAAACAUUGGGUAAAAUGUAUUCUGUGUUUCAAAGCAUAGAUGUUUUAAAGAAUGGUUUCAUUUUGCUCUUGUAUAACAGGGUCUCUAAAAUUUACAAAUAAAAAUUAAUGAACCUUAA